UUUUUUUUUUUUUUUUUUUUUUUUUUUUUUAAAGCACGCAACGAGGUGCUUCGUGCACAGAUAAUUCAGAGAAUAGGUCCUUAGUGGAUGAGUAAAGAUCACAAUGGCAAAGAUUCCAGGGGCCGACUCUGCUCAGGAGAAUUAGAAAGCGCAUCGUGGUCUAGCCAAAUCCAGAGGCUCACAGACUGAAACAGCACACUUCUCCCACUGGCCUCUUCUUCACCAUGAUUCACAGUCUUUUCUUGAUCAACUCUGCUGGGGAUAUUUUCCUGGAGAAGCACUGGAAAAGCGUGGUCAGCCGCUCUGUUUGCGAUUACUUUUUCGAGGCCCAAGAGAGAGCUACGGAGGCUGAAAAUGUGCCUCCCGUCAUCCCCACACCUCACCACUACCUUCUGAGCGUUUACCGGCACAAGAUCUUCUUUGUGGCUGUGAUCCAGACGGAGGUCCCGCCUCUGUUUGUCAUUGAAUUCCUUCACCGAGUAGUGGACACAUUUCAGG
rnacentral:lncRNA from 1 species